AGGGAUCAUUACACAAAUAUGAAGGCGGGCUGGAACCUCUCGGGGUUACAGCCUUGCUGAAUUAUUCACCCUUGUCUUUUGCGUACUUCCUGUUUCCUUGGUGGGUUCGCCCACCACUAGGACAAACAUAAACCUUUUGUAAUUGCAAUCAGCGUCAGUAACAAAUUAAUAAUUACAACUUUCAACAACGGAUCUCUUGGUUCUGGCAUCGAUGAAGAACGCAGCGAAAUGCGAUAAGUAGUGUGAAUUGCAGAAUUCAGUGAAUCAUCGAAUCUUUGAACGCACAUUGCGCCCUUUGGUAUUCCAAAGGGCAUGCCUGUUCGAGCGUCAUUUGUACCCUCAAGCUUUGCUUGGUGUUGGGCGUCUUGUCUCUAGCUUUGCUGGAGACUCGCCUUAAAGUAAUUGGCAGCCGGCCUACUGGUUUCGGAGCGCAGCACAAGUCGCACUCUCUAUCAGCAAAGGUCUAGCAUCCAUUAAGCCUUUUUUCGACUUUUGACCUCGGAUCAGGUAGGGAUACCCGCUGAACUUAAGCAUAUCAAUAAGCGGAGGAAAAGAAACCAACAGGGAUUGCCCUAGUAACGGCGAGUGAAGCGGCAACAGCUCAAAUUUGAAAUCUGGCUCUUUUAGAGUCCGAGUUGUAAUUUGCAGAGGGCGCUUUGGCUUUGGCAGCGGUCCAAGUUCCUUGGAACAGGACGUCACAGAGGGUGAGAAUCCCGUACGUGGUCGCUGGCUAUUGCCGUGUAAAGCCCCUUCGACGAGUCGAGUUGUUUGGGAAUGCAGCUCUAAAUGGGAGGUACAUUUCUUCUAAAGCUAAAUAUUGGCCAGAGACCGAUAGCGCACAAGUAGAGUGAUCGAAAGAUGAAAAGCACUUUGGAAAGAGAGUCAAACAGCACGUGAAAUUGUUGAAAGGGAAGCGCUUGCAGCCAGACUUGCUUACAGUUGCUCAUCCGGGUUUCUACCCGGUGCACUCUUCUGUAGGCAGGCCAGCAUCAGUUUGAGCGGUAGGAUAAAGGUCUCUGUCACGUACCUCCUUUCGGGGAGGCCUUAUAGGGGAGACGACAUACUACCAGCCUGGACUGAGGUCCGCGCAUCUGCUAGGAUGCUGGCGUAAUGGCUGUAAGCGACC
rnacentral:rRNA from 1 species